UACGGAAGGCAGCAGUGGGGAAUAUUGCACAAUGGGCGCAAGCCUGAUGCAGCCAUGCCGCGUGUAUGAAGAAGGCCUUCGGGUUGUAAAGUACUUUCAGUCGUGAGGAAGGUGUUAAGGUUAAUAACCUUAGCAAUUGACGUUAGCGACAGAAGAAGCACCGGCUAACUCCGUGCCAGCAGCCGCGGUAAUACGGAGGGUGCGAGCGUUAAUCGGAAUUACUGGGCGUAAAGGGCACGCAGGCGGUUAAUUAAGUUGGAUGUGAAAUCCCCGGGCUUAACCUGGGAAUGGCAUUCAAGACUGGUUAGCUAGAGUCUUGUAGAGGGGGUAGAAUUCCAUGUGUAGCGGUGAAAUGCGUAGAGAUGUGGAGGAAUACCGGUGGCGAAGGCGGCCCCUGGACAAAGACUGACGCUCAUGUGCGAAAGCGUGGGGAGCAAA
rnacentral:rRNA from 1 species